UACAGAGGGAGCUAGCGUUGUUCGGAAUUACUGGGCGUAAAGAGCGUGUAGGUGGUUUUAUAAGUUAGGCGUUAAAGACCCAAGCUCAACUUGGGGAGUGCGUUUAAUACUGUAAUGCUAGAGGAUGAAAGAGGAGAGUAGAAUUUCCGGUGUAGAGGUGAAAUUCGUAGAUAUCGGAAGGAAUACCGGCGGCGAAGGCGGCUCUCUGGUUCAUUUCUGACACUGAGGCGCGAAAGUGUGGGGAG
rnacentral:rRNA from 1 species